rnacentral:lncRNA from 1 species
GGCAUUUUCCCUACGCAGGACCAGCCAGAACCUUCCGGGUGGAUGGGGACAACCCUGAGAGCCGGCUGACGGUUCCUGGCCUCAGUGAGAACGUUCCUUACAAGUUCAAGGUGCAGGCCCGGACAACAGAGGGCUUUGGGCCCGAGCGUGAGGGUAUCAUCACCAUCGAGUCUCAGGAUGGAGGCCCCUUCCCACAGCUGGGCAGCCAUUCUGGGCUUUUCCAGAACCCACUGCAAAGUGAGUACAGCACUGUCACCAGCACUCACAGCACUACCACCACCGAGCCCUUCCUUAUAG